rnacentral:rRNA from 1 species
UAAUACGUAGGGGGCGAGCGUUGUCCGGAAUGAUUGGGCGUAAAGGGCGCGUAGGCGGCCAGGCAAGUCAGUAGUGGAAGUCCAAUUUUCAAGGUUGGAAGUGCUAUUGAAACUGCAGGGCUUGAGUGCAGGAGAGGUUAUCGGAAUUCCCGGUGUAGCGGUGAAAUGCGUAGAGAUCGGGAGGAACACCAGUGGCGAAGGCGGGUAACUGGACUGCAACUGACGCUGAGGCGCGAAAGUGUGGGGAGCAAACAGG